AUUGAACGCUGGCGGCAUGCCUUACACAUGCAAGUCGAACGGCAGCAUGGAGAGCUUGCUCUCUGAUGGCGAGUGGCGAACGGGUGAGUAAUGCAUCGGAACGUACCGUGUAAUGGGGGAUAACGUAGCGAAAGUUACGCUAAUACCGCACACGACCUGAGGGUGAAAGCAGGGGAUCGCAAGACCUUGCGUUAUACGAGCGGCCGAUGUCAGAUUAGCUAGUUGGUGAGGUAAAGGCCCACCAAGGCGACGAUCUGUAGCGGGUCUGAGAGGAUGAUCCGCCACACUGGGACUGAGACACGGCCCAGACUCCUACGGGAGGCAGCAGUGGGGAAUUUUGGACAAUGGGGGCAACCCUGAUCCAGCCAUGCCGCGUGAGUGAAGAAGGCCUUCGGGUUGUAAAGCUCUUUCGGCCGGGAAGAAAUCGCACAGGCUAAUACUCUGUGUGGAUGACGGUACCGGCAUAAGAAGCACCGGCUAACUACGUGCCAGCAGCCGCAGUAA
rnacentral:rRNA from 1 species